rnacentral:rRNA from 1 species
AUCGCUAACUACUCCAGUGUGAUGUGCGGGUUGCAGGUGCUUGAAACUAGAGACCAUCUCUUCUUUCACUGCCCUUUUGCUAGGAUAUGCUGGACUCACCUUUGCCCGUCAUGGACUCCAACAUAUAAUGGUAUUCAAGUAGAAAUAACCAACAUCAAGAAUCUGCUAGGAGUACCGUUUUUCCUGGAGAUGAUUAUCUUGGCGGCUUGGGCAAUCUGGACAACCAGUAAGGACUUCAUUUUCAAGAAUCGUGUACCAAGCCUAUACACCUGCCGAAAGAAGUUCAAAGAGGGAAUAAAAUGGUUCAUCUUCAGAGCCACCCGGAAGGAUUAUAUGCAUUUUGAAGACUGGGUCAACUCUUUUAGAUAG